AGUGAACGCUGGCGGUAGGCCUAACACAUGCAAGUCGAACGGCAGCACAGUAAGAGCUUGCUCUUACGGGUGGCGAGUGGCGGACGGGUGAGGAAUACAUCGGAAUCUACUUUUUCGUGGGGGAUAACGUAGGGAAACUUACGCUAAUACCGCAUACGACCUACGGGUGAAAGCAGGGGAUCUUCGGACCUUGCGCGAUUGAAUGAGCCGAGGUCGGAUUAGCUAGUUGGCGGGGUAAAGGCCCACCAAGGCGACGGUCCGUAGCUGGUCUGAGAGGAUGAUCAGCCACACUGGAACUGGGACACGGUCCAGACUCCUACGGGAGGCAGCAGUGGGGAAUAUUGGACAAUGGGCGCAAGCCUGAUCCAGCCAUACCGCGUGGGUGAAGAAGGCCUUCGGGUUGUAAAGCCCUUUUGUUGGGAAAGAAAAGCAGCAGGUUAAUACCCCGCUGUUCUGACGGUACCCAAAGAAUAAGCACCGGCUAACUUCGUG
rnacentral:rRNA from 1 species